GGGGAUGUGGUUUAGUGGUAUAAUGCUUCCUUAGCAACACCAGCUCAACAAGCUCGUGUAUGCAUUCAUGGAAGAGGUCCCGAGUUCGAUUCUUGGCGUCUCCA
rnacentral:tRNA from 1 species